rnacentral:rRNA from 1 species
AAGUCGAGCGAGAAGACGUAGCAAUACGUUUGUAAAGCGGCGAACGGGUGAGGAAUACAUGGGUAACCUACCCUCGAGUGGGGAAUAACUAGCCGAAAGGUUAGCUAAUACCGCAUACGACUCUCGGUCUGCGGAUCGAGAGGGAAAGCGAUACCGUGGGUAUCGCGCUCAUGGAUGGGCUCAUGUCCUAUCAGCUUGUUGGUGAGGUAACGGCUCACCAAGGCUUCGACGGGUAGCUGGUCUGAGAGGACGAUCAGCCACACUGGCACUGCGACACGGGCCAGACUCCUACGGGAGGCAGCAGUAAGGAAUAUUGCGCAAUGGGCGACAGCCUGACGCAGCGACGCCGCGUGGGGGAUGAAGGUCUUCGGAUUGUAAACCCCUUUCGGCAGGGAAGAUGGAACGGGUAACCGUUCGGACGGUACCUGCAGAAGCAGCCACGGCUAACUUCGUGCCAGCAGCCGCGGUAAUACGAAGGUGGCAAGCGUUGUUCGGAUUUACUGGGCGUACAGGGAGCGUAGGCGGUUGGGUAAGCCUUUCGUGAAAUCUCCGGGCCUAACCCGGAAAGUGCGGAGGGGACUGCUCGGCUAGAGGAUGGGAGAGGAGCGCGGAAUUCCCGGUGUAGCGGUGAAAUGCGUAGAGAUCGGGAGGAAGGCCGGUGGCGAAGGCGGCGCUCUGGAACAUAUCUGACGCUGAGGCU